rnacentral:rRNA from 1 species
AUGAGCUGCCGAAAUCAGGCUGCCACUGUCGAGGAUGAAGACGACCUGCCGAGCUUCCUAGCUCAGGGGAGACACGAUGCGAUGGAAGAAAUCCGUCAGCAUCCUCAUAAUCAAGGUGGAUCCAAACUGGCUGCGGGAGACAAGAUCCACACCAACAUCGCCUGCACGGAUGGCGAUGGCACCGGCACCAUGGAGAUCGACGAGCUCGCCUCCUCCCCUGAGCAGCUUCUCCUUGGGCCCUGCUACCCCUCCGUCGCCGUUGACCGGUUUGAGAGAUCGACGAGGCGUAUAGGAGCCAAACCAGGCGCCGUAGACGGCUAA